rnacentral:tRNA from 6 species
GCCGGAGUGGCGAAAUGGCAGACGCGCACGCUUCAGGAGCGUGUGUCCGUAAGGGCGUGGAGGUUCAAAUCCUCUCUCCGGCA